rnacentral:rRNA from 1 species
UACGGGGGGGGCAAGCGUUGUUCGGAAUUACUGGGCGUAAAGGGCUCGUAGGCGGCCAACUAAGUCAGACGUGAAAUCCCUCGGCUUAACCGGGGAACUGCGUCUGAUACUGGAUGGCUUGAGGUUGGGAGAGGGAUGCGGAAUUCCAGGUGUAGCGGUGAAAUGCGUAGAUAUCAGGAGGAACACCGGUGGCGAAGGCGGUUCUCUGGGCCUGUACUGACGCUGAGGAGCGAAAGCGUGGGGAGCAAACAGG